rnacentral:ncRNA from 1 species
CGCUGAUCGACAACUCGCUGAGCAAGAAGCCGCAGGUCGUGCGGAUCGAUCCGACAGACAAGGCGUUCAAGACCGACGGCUGCCAGCCCUGGCAGCUGACGCCCGACGCCACCCCGCCCGCGGAAGUUUCGGGCCCGGUCGCCGGGGCUCAGGUGCAGGGCACCAUCGGCACGCUGAACGGGCUGCUGGCGCCGAACGGAAUGCGCGUU